rnacentral:lncRNA from 1 species
GCGUGUGCAGGGAGGAUGGUCUAGUAGUGAAAGCCCAGUCAGUGUCUUUAUUAGAUACCAUAAAAAUCCUGACUGGACUCUGACUGGACUCUGAUUGUAUAUGAGCUGAACCAAAGGAUCCAACACAAAAGUGUCACUUGUUUCCUGGAUGAUAUCAUGUGCAGGAGGCUUCCACGCCUUUUCAGGAGCCUCUGUAAUCAUGUAUGAUUUCAAAUGAAACUGCCAUGAAGCUAAACUCCGACAUGAAGCUAAACUCAGCCAUGAAGCUAAACUCCGACAUGCAGCUAAACUCCGACAUGAAGCUAAACUCCGACAUGAAGCUAAACUCCGCCAUGAAGCUAAACUCCGACAUGAAGCUAAACUCCGCCAUGAAGCUAAACUCCGCCAUGAAGCUAAACUCUGCCAUGAAGCUAAACUCCGCCAUGAAGCUAAACUCCGCCAUGAAGCUAAACUCCGCCAUGAAGCUAAACUCCGCCAUGAAGCUAAACUCCGACAUGAAGCUAAACUCCGCCAUGAAGCUAAACUCCGACAUGAAGCUAAACUCCGACAUGAAGCUAAACUCCGACAUGAAGCUAAACUCAGCCAUGAAGCUAAACUCCGACAUUAAGCUAAACUCCGACAUGCAGCUAAACUCAGCCAUGCAGCUAAACUCAGCCAUGAAGCUAAACUCCGCCAUGAAGCUAAACUCCGACAUGCAGCUAAACUCCGACAUGAAGCUAAACUCCGACAUGAAGCUAAACUCCGACAUGAAGCUAAACUCAGCCAUGAAGCUAAACUCCGACAUGAAGCUAAACUCCGACAUGAAGCUAAACUCCGACAUGAAGCUAAACUCCGACAUGAAGCUAAACUCCGCCAUGAAGCUAAACUCUGCCAUGAAGCUAAACUACGACAUGAAGCUAAACUCCGACAUGAAGCUAAACUCCGACAUGAAGCUAAACUCCGACAACUCCGACAUGAAGCUAAACUCCGACAUGAAGCUAAACUCCGACAUGAAGCUAAACUCCGACAUGAAGCUAAACUCCGACAUGAAGCUGAACUCCGACAUGAAGCUGCCGUAUAUGUAACGUGUUGUUGAAUGGCUCUGGUGCUAACCCAACAAAUCACAUGGCAACCCCCUCAUAUCCUCUGACAGAAUUGUGUUCUCUAAUUAACCAUGCAGAACAGGAGAAGAACACGUGUUAAUUUAAUGUAACAAAAAUGUUGAUUUUCAUGCACUCUCCUUUUCAAAUAUUAAUAGGCUAGACUUGCAUUUCAAGAUGCAUCAAGUAGCUCAGGAUAUGCAAAUGUGAUGUAUGCUGCUGCCUUACCCCAACCAGUUGGACUGACACAAUCUCUCUCUUUAUGCAGGCAAUUGCCUGGUUAUGAGCACCGGAACACCAAGAGCCAAUAAUCUGCACUUCCUUCAGUUGACCACACACACAAAAAAUGAUGUAUCAAUGUAAUCAACAGUUAAUCAAUUAUAAAUUAAUUGACGUAUUCAAGAGUUGUAAAUUAUCAAAUUAGUUGCAUCUUAUUAUUGUAGUUAUCUCCAUAGCCAUAUCUGGCCACAUUUAGAACACUAAUUAGCACAGUGAACCAGAAAACAUGUUAAGCCACAUUCAAUGAGACCAGACGAGGUCAUGGUGUAAGUUUUCAUCAUGUUACAGUAAGAUAUCUUGAAGCUUUUUAAGCUGACAAAUUGUAACUAUUAUUUAUUUGGUCUAUUGAAUUGCGUUGUUUUAGUCGCUUGGAGUUUAAUUCAAAACGGCAUCAACUAAUUUGUCUACCUCAAACCAUGUCUUGCCUCUCUCUGUGUUACAAAUUAACCCUAUUUACAUGAGCGAGAGGCGCAAGAGGAAACUCCCAAAGUCACCGAAAGGUGGCGUAUGAGUCACGUCUAACAAGUACGCUUAACUGCUCUUUGAAAGGCACUGGCUUACCUUUCUACUGUUAAAUAAAUAAAACACGAAAAUAUAAAAGGUUACAUGAAAUAUAUGUCAGUAAGAACUUUAGUUAAUUAAUUAAUCAUUAAAACACAUUGCUCUCAGCAAUAUGCAUCGCACACAUCAAUUUUUCAUAAUCAAAAAUACAAUAGGCCUCUUGAUUUCAUCACAGUGUAGGCCUAUGUACAAUAUGACUACGAAUAGUUACACAGCUAAGAUAAGAUGUUUUAAUUGUCUUUAACAUUAACCACACUGAAAUUCUAACUAAUUGAAAUAACACAUUUGAGUCUUGUACCUCUGAGAGAAAUCCAAAAUGUGCCAACAUCCUUUUUUUUUUCAAAUUUGAGGAACUCUUGCCUGCAUCGUCAUUAAAGAGCAAUGCGUUUCUUCGUUCUCAUUUAAGAUCCAGUAGAAAAUCCACGC